CCCCCCCCCCAACUGUUUUUCAAUAUCAUUAAUAUUGAAGUCCUGUAUAAUUAUUAUAAAGUAACAUUUUGCUCUUGUCUGUAAAGCUUUCUUGAAGUAACUAAGUGAUAUAAGAAAGAACUUCACACACCAUGGAAAAAUGUUUCUCAUUGAUUUACUAAAAAUGUUCCAAAAUUGAUACAUAUGUGUGUAGUAUUUCUCUGCUUCUUCAAUUGCCAUGCAAUUUCUUUUACUAGAGUGUAUGUGAACUGGUGCAAUAGGCCACUUGGGUAUAUAGAACUAUUACAUGUUUGUACUAUGUUUAUAGAAUAAAGGUGAAUACCCAGAGAUGCAAUUUAGACACCAAUCAUCUCUGUUUGUUUAGUGAAUUGAUUCUGGUGUUGUCUGCUUCCAAGAAUAACAACGGAUAGUAUGUCAAUAGUAUUUAAAAUAGUAUUUCUUUGUUUCCUAGACUAUACUGUAAUAAAUCUGAUCAUGUUAUACAGUACUAUGACACGCAUGAUACAUGGAACUUUUUCUUUUUUCUCUUCUGAUUUUUUGUAUAUUGAGUUUGUAUAUAACGAUCGUCUGGUCAAACUUUGCAUAAACUCCAGCUGUGUCAACAGCUGCAUCUCUGUGAUGCGUAUUGUGUGCAUCAGAAGCAUUUAAAAUUCAGGUCUUGCAGGACCACAGAUCUACAGAGAUUUGUGUCACAAAUUUAGCCCAUGAAGCCUUUGGUAAUUAGCUAAUGUGUUGACUCAGGUGUGGUAAAUGUGCUAAAUGAGGUAGAACUCUGCAGUGCUGUGGCCCUACAGGGGAGACACCCCUGGAGUGGGUUUAUUAAUGUAUUCUCCAGCCCCAACAUUUCUUUAGUACAGCAGACAAAUCUUUCUAGCUUUCUGGAAUUGUUUCAUUUUAUGAACCCCCUUCAUAAGAGUGAACACAAAUGUAUUUUAUUUUAGUCCCAGUCCUUUUUCCACGUUAGAGAGUAAAACUUUUAUUUAGAUUUUAUGAGUGUGGAAUUUGUUCCCUGAUAUCUCAUGUGCUUUACUUAACUGAGAAGAUUCUGUCUACUGCAGGCAUGUACAUGUUUACUCCAGUGAUUGCAAUGCAGGUGAGGAUCACUAUUGUAUAUGCUGUCGUAAUCCAGUCCAAAACAGCACACUCCCUUAAGGCAAAAUAAACACUCCCACUUCACCUUAGCUUUUUGAAGAUAGACCUAUCUGGUACCCUCUGUAUCCGCUGACUCACUGCCUACAUGCCUUCAGGCUUGUAAUGGAUCACCAACAACUGGGAAAAAAUCAGGAUAUCUCUCAGACACUUAAUGUCUUCAUACCAGGCACAAACAUUUCUUUCUUUCAACAACUUUCACAUUUCCACUUUUGUUUAUGUACUAACUAGACCUAAGGUCAAUGUUGUGUUUUCAUUGUUUUAUGUCUGUCCCUAAUGAAUCUCACUGUUGGAAAGCAUACAGUAUUUUCUAAAACCAAAAUAUUAAUGCCACAUAAGCCUGUAGUCUGUAUACAGUCAUUUCAUUAGAUGAGAUAAUGAUUUGUGCUGAAAGAUUGUUUUCUGCUAUUUUUUUGGCUUACUGAAAUUUUGUUUAUUGGCUAUUUUCUCAGAAUGACCAGUUUUUCUGCUUGACCACAUGAUUUCACACAUUACUCUUAUUCAGGUUGUACCUUUGAUACUGAAUUGUUACAUUUGAGCUUAGGUCUUCAAUAAAGAUACCAAUAUGAAUGAUGGUGGGUCAUAUGUGGGUCUUUUUGUGUCAGUUCUUCAGUUUUGACACUGCAUGGACGCGUACCCUUUAUUUAGUUUCAUUUCCCAUGACUUGUCCUGUACCACUGCGUGUGUGUGCGUGUUUUUUGUGUUUUGGUGAUUAUUUGAAGUCAAUCUGACCGUCCCCCACCCCCUAAAACCACAUUGCAAUGGUUUCAUCCAGCCCUGUGAUGUGGAACGGAGGUUCAACUGUGGAAAACAUGGAAGACGUCUUUCCUCUUCAGUAGGCUAUAAAGAGCAGAUAUUAACCUUGCAACCUCUAAGCCACUGUUUCUCUCCAUCUCUUUUCUUUCUCCCCCUCCAUUCCAUUGCAGUCCUCUUUUCUCUGUUUUCCCCUUUUGGAGUGGGGGGUCUGUCACACAGAUGUGUGCCCUUUGUUGCUUCACCUUUUCCAAGAAUAACAGCUUGUUCCCAGAGUGAUAAAUAAUUCCCAGAGCAGCACAUAAAACUCCUUUGACUUCGUUGAGUCUUUUGUUUCCUUUUAAUUGAAUUGAAGUUCCUUCCUAAAAGAAACUAAUUCUGCCUCAG
ensembl:lncRNA